rnacentral:lncRNA from 1 species
AUCUAACACAGAGAGUCUACACCAAGAGGCGUCUAAUGCCAGAUUUACACCAGAGAGUCUACACCAGAGAGAGGUCUACUGCUUCAGAUUUACACCAGAGAAUCUACACCAGAGAGUCUACACCAGAGAGUCUACACCAGAGAUGGGUCUACUGCUUCAGUUUACAAAACAGAGAGUCCUACACCAGAGAGUUUACACCAGAGAGUUUACACCAGAGAGUCUACACCAGAGAGGGGUCUACAUCAGAGAGUCUACACCAGAGAGUCUACACCAGAGAGUCUACACCAGAGAGUCUACACCAGAGAGGGGUUUACUGCUUCAGAUUUACACCAGAGAGUCUACACCGAGAGUUCCACCAGAAAGGGGUCUACACCCAGAGUCUACACCAGAGAGUCUACAUCAGAGAGUCGAACCAGAGAGGGUCUACACCCAGAGAGUCUACACCAGGGGGUCUACAUCAGAGAGUCUACACCAGAGAGGGGUCUACAUCAGAGAGUCUACACCAGAGAGGGGUCUACAUCAGAGGUCUACACCAGAGAGGGUCUACACACAGAGAGUCUA